ACGGAAGGCAGCAGUGGGGAAUAUUGCACAAUGGGGGAAACCCUGAUGUAGCAACGCCGCGUGAGUGAUGACGGUCUUCGGAUUGUAUAGCUCUGUCUUUAGGGACGAUAAUGACGGUACCUAAGGAGGAAGCCACGGCUAACUACGUGCCAGCAGCCGCGGUAAUACGUAGGUGGCAAGCGUUGUCCGGAUUUACUGGGCGUAAAGGGAGCGUAGGUGGAUAUUUAAGUGGGAUGUGAAAUACCCGGGCUUAACCUGGGUGCUGCAUUCCAAACUGGAUAUCUAGAGUGCAGGAGAGGAAAGGAGAAUUCCUAGUGUAGCGGUGAAAUGCGUAGAGAUUAGGAAGAAUACCAGUGGCGAAGGCGCCUUUCUGGACUGUAACUGACGUUGAGGCUCGAAAGCGUGGGGAGCAAACAGGAUUAGAUACCCUGGUA
rnacentral:rRNA from 1 species